GCGGCAGGCUUAACACAUGCGAGUCGAGCGGAUGAAAGUAGCUUGCUACCGGAUUCAGCGGCGGACGGGUGAGUAAUGCUUAGGAAUCUGCCUAUUAGUGGGGGACAACGUUCCGAAAGGAGCGCUAAUACCGCAUACGUCCUACGGGAGAAAGCAGGGGACCUUCGGGCCUUGCGCUAAUAGAUGAGCCUAAGUCGGAUUAGCUAGUUGGUAGGGUAAAGGCCUACCAAGGCGACGAUCUGUAGCGGGUCUGAGAGGAUGAUCCGCCACACUGGGACUGAGACACGGCCCAGACUCCUACGGGAGGCAGCAGUGGGGAAUAUUGGACAAUGGGGGGAACCCUGAUCCAGCCAUGCCGCGUGUGUGAAGAAGGCCUUUUGGUUGUAAAGCACUUUAAGCGAGGAGGAGGCUACCUAGAUUAAUACUUUAGGAUAGUGGACGUUACUCGCAGAAUAAGCACCGGCUAACUCUGUGCCAGCAGCCGCGGUAAUACAGAGGGUGCGAGCGUUAAUCGGAUUUACUGGGCGUAAAGCGUGCGUAGGCGGCCAAUUAAGUCAAAUGUGAAAUCCCCGAGCUUAACUUGGGAAUUGCAUUCGAUACUGGUUGGCUAGAGUAUGGGAGAGGAUGGUAGAAUUCCAGGUGUAGCGGUGAAAUGCGUAGAGAUCUGGAGGAAUACCGAUGGCGAAGGCCGCCAUCUGGCCUUAUACUGACGCUGAGGUACGAAAGCAUGGGGAGCAAACAGGAUUAGAUACCCUGGUAGUCCAUGCCGUAAACGAUGUCUACUAGCCGUUGGGGCCCUUGAAGGCUUUAGUUGC
rnacentral:rRNA from 1 species